rnacentral:rRNA from 1 species
AAACCAGCACCUCAAGUGGUCAGGAUGAUUAUUGGGCCUAAAGCAUCCGUAGCCGGCUCUGUAAGUUUUCGGUUAAAUCUGUACGCUUAACGUACAGGCUGCUGGGAAUACUGCAGAGCUAGGGAGUGGGAGAGGUAAACGGUACUCGGGAGGAAGUGGUAAAAUGCUUUGAUCUCUCGAUGACCACCUGUGGCGAAGGCGGUCUACCAGAACACGUCCGACGGUGAGGGAUGAAAGCUGGGGGAGCAAACCGGAUUAGAAACCCUGGUAGUCC